AUUUUGGACAUUGGGGGAAACCCUGAUCCAGCCAUCCCGCGUGUAUGAUGAAGGCCUUCGGGUUGUAAAGUACUUUUGGCAGAGAAGAAAAGGUAUCUCCUAAUACGAGAUUCUGCUGACGGUAUCUGCAGAAUAAGCACCGGCUAACUACGUGCCAGCAGCCGCGGUAAUACGGAGGGUGCAAGCGUUAACCGGAAUUACUGGGCGUAAAGGGUGCGUAGGCGGUUCGGAAAGACAGCUGUGAAAGCCCAGGGCUCAACCUUAGAACUGCAUUUUAAACUGCCGUGCUAGAGUAUGUCAGAGGGGGGUAGAAUUCGACGUGUAGCAGUGAAAUGCGUAGAUAUGUGGAGGAAUACCGAUGGCGAAGGCAGCCCCCUAAGAUAAUACUGACGCUCAGACACGAAAGCGUGGGGAGCAAACA
rnacentral:rRNA from 1 species